rnacentral:rRNA from 1 species
AUUGCCUUAGUAACGGCGAGUGAAGCGGCAAAAGCUCAAAUUUGAAAUCUGGCACCUUCGGUGUCCGAGUUGUAAUUUGAAGAAGGUAACUUUGGAGUUGGCUCUUGUCUAUGUUCCUUGGAACAGGACGUCACAGAGGGUGAGAAUCCCGUGCGAUGAGAUGCCCAAUUCUAUGUAAAGUGCUUUCGAAGAGUCGAGUUGUUUGGGAAUGCAGCUCUAAGUGGGUGGUAAAUUCCAUCUAAAGCUAAAUAUUGGCGAGAGACCGAUAGCGAACAAGUACAGUGAUGGAAAGAUGAAAAGAACUUUGAAAAGAGAGUGAAAAAGUACGUGAAAUUGUUGAAAGGGAAGGGCUUGAGAUCAGACUUGGUAUUUUGCGAUCCUUUCCUUCUUGGUUGGGUUCCUCGCAGCUUACUGGGCCAGCAUCGGUUUGGAUGGUAGGAUAAUGACUAAGGAAUGUGGCUCUACUUCGGUGGAGUGUUAUAGCCUUGGUUGAUACUGCCUGU